UACGUAGGGUGCGAGCGUUAAUCGGAAUUACUGGGCGUAAAGCGUGCGCAGGCGGUUCGUUGUGUCGGCGGGGAAAGCCCCAGGCUCAACCUGGGAAUGGCCGUUGAAACUGGCGAACUGGAGUGUGGCAGAGGGGGGUGGAAUUCCGCGUGUAGCAGUGAAAUGCGUAGAGAUGCGGAGGAACACCGAUGGCGAAGGCAGCCCCCUGGGCUGACACUGACGCUCAGGCACGAAAGCGUGGGGAGCAAACAGG
rnacentral:rRNA from 1 species